rnacentral:piRNA from 1 species
UAGGAAAUCAUUAGCCUUUAAGGGUCAGA